CGAACGCUGGCGGCGUGCUUAACACAUGCAAGUCGAACGCGAAAGGGACUUCGGUCCUGAGUAAAGUGGCGCACGGGUGAGUAACGCGUAGAUAACCUGUCUUCAUGUCUGGAAUAAUACGCCGAAAGGGGUACUAAUACCGGAUAUUCUUGCUUUUCAUAAGUUAUGCAAGCAAAGGUGGCCUCUGCAUAUGCUACUGCAUGAAGAGGGGUCUGCGUACCAUUAGCUAGUAGGUGGGGUAAUGGCCUACCUAGGCGACGAUGGUUAGCGGGUCUGAGAGGAUGAUCCGCCACACUGGCACUGGAACACGGGCCAGACUCCUACGGGAGGCAGCAGUGAGGAAUAUUGCGCAAUGGGGGAAACCCUGACGCAGCGACGCCGCGUGAGUGAAGGAAGGCCUUCGGGUCGUAAAGCUCUGUCAAGAGGAAAGAAGUGUACAAUGGCUAAUACCUGUUGUACUUGACGGUACCUCUAAAGGAAGCACCGGCUAACUCCGUGCCAGCAGCCGC
rnacentral:rRNA from 1 species